UCCCCAUCCGGUUGGUUGCUAAGUCUGAAGAUUUGGGCCGAUGGUUUUGAUUUGAUCACCACCUCACCUCUCACCUGUGGGCGAGCCUCCCCUCCCCUCCCCGUCUCGUCUUCAAUGACGUUUAGCCGGACCUCCAGGCAAAGCAUCACAGCUAUAGCGAGUUUUGUUCCCAGGCAACGGGGUUGCCAUCAGCAUUCAAAGCGAAAUCUCCCAACCCAAUCUCCAGCAACGGACCUAACGGUGGUGGUAGGACACCACCCCAAAUUCUCCUGCCGAUCGCACGCUGGUCCAGGCGACGAUGAAUGCGCCGGGAUGAGCGCGAUCGCAAUGUUCAAUGUAUACAGGUACAGUUUGAUGAAUGAGAGUGAGAUGGAUCAAGCAAAAGUCGCCCAGAUCCUCUGAUCUGCUUACUGGAGACCUGCAAGCUUAGAAACCUCAGCAUGAUGGUGAUUAAUUGAACUGGGAGCACUGGCACAGAUGGAGGUAACCUUUCAAUUCUUUUUAUUCUGUUUUAUCAUGUCUAGGAUCAGAGAUCCUGGAGGCACCCAGUACCACAUGCAUUUCUGUAUAUCCCUUUUGUGCACACAAGACUGACAUAUUGAGGAGAGCAGUUUGAAGCCGGGGUAUCACAAAAGGUUGUUGCUCUAGAACUCCAGCAUGCGGCCUCGGAGGAUAGCCUCAGCUUUUCUGACUUCCUGCACUGGUCCAAUG
rnacentral:lncRNA from 1 species